GCGUUCUUAGCUCAGUUGGUAGAGCAACUGACUCUUAAUCAGAGGGUCCAGGGUUCGAUCCCCUGAGAGCGUA
rnacentral:tRNA from 1 species